AUAUCGUGUUUGCGUUAUCAUUUCGUAUCCUCAUCGGUUGGUCCGCUUUUUUCGCUCAGGUUGGAGGAAUACGAGCGAUUAUUACGUGAUUUGUGAAAAAAAAUGGAAACAGUACAGUAAACCAGUCCAGAGGAAACACGUGACAAGAUUGAGUACAAUGUGUUCCAUCGUUAAAAGGAAACUUGCACGGUGAAAUAGAUCUAAACGGUGAAUCAUGUUCUCGCCAGCCCCCAGCCGCAGCAAUAGUGUCUAUUUCAGAGAUAAUUGGUGGACCGAGAAAUAUUUAUAUUUUGCUUUCUUUUUCCAUGUCGAUUAUUUUCGAAAAAUACAAGUAAAAUAUUCAUUAUGAGACGUGGACGAUGUACAAUGAACUUUCAAGGAAUUGCGGUUCACUGAAUGGAUUUAUAAGGAGCCG